rnacentral:lncRNA from 7 species
GUGUGUGUUCAUUCUUGUCCUGAGGCUGUGGGAGCUGACUUUUUUUUUUCAAGACCUCUGCCUUGGCUGGAAGAUGAUGCUCAAACCCCUGAAUAGAGAAGCAAUGGUUUCAAACAUCCAAGUCACCACAGGGGAGAAAUCAAGAGUUGUUUCUCUCCGUUGGGUUCUUCACUGCUUAUAAACUUUGGAGCUUUGAAUGCCUGUGGACUCCCUUAAUUAGUGCUCUUGAGCCAAACAGGUGGCACAGCUGUGCCCUGCUGGUGAGGGGAGAGCUUUCAGCCUGAAAAAAGACAACAGAAAGGUACAAGAGAAACCUAUAAGGCAGGGAUGUGGCAAGAGGAGGCAGGGGGGCAACUACGGGCCAUUGACGUGGGGGGGAUUGCAGGGGUGUGGAAUGAGUCCAAUCUAAAACAAAUGAAGGAAAAUUAUAACUUUUCCCCACUUUCUCUGGCAGCAAAAGAACUUUUAAACAAGCAAUUCCAGCUUCUUUUUAUUAUCAAGGAAAAUAGUCUGUUAUAGCUACAUACCUGUGUGGUUCUGAGAGCGUGGAAAACUUGGUAAACAAGCAGGAAAUGAAAGUGAGAAUUAAUUCAAUCCCAAAUUUGCCAUAGAAAGGAACAGUUGAGAAAUCACUGGUGCUGUUUAAUAACUGCUAAAAGGGAGAGGAUAAAUACAAUAUUAAUUUUGUGGCUUUUUUUUUGCACUUCAGUGAACAUACAUUUUUGUAAUUGUAUUUACUGGGUUUGGCUGUGUUGAAAGAUAAGGGAUAAUUACAUUCUUGCCUGAUGGGAAGAAGCCUUCAACAUUAUGCCUUUUUCUAGUAUGUUAACAAUACUGUAAUAUUCAGGAAUUCAAUCAGAUAAUAAUUAAUGACAAAAGAAAACAUUCUUAAUGAAUGAGUUCCAUGAACUUGAUCUGUGCUCCGAAAACUGAAAAUCCUUCUGUUAUCUCACUGUAAAUACAGACCUGAGAGCCUCCAGUCCAUCCCAGCCCCAUUUGUUGGGUGGCUGUUGCUUGUGUGAGGGCUGGUGUGACUGUGUGCUGUCAGCUGGGUGGAGUAUUUUGGUGCUCUUUCCAGUUUUGAUUGGGGUU